GCCACUCCGCUCUGCUCCCCUCGGUUCCCCUGCGCCCGCCGGGCGGGAUGGGCGGUGCCGGGAGAGAGAGGGAGGGAGCGCGGCGACGGGAGCCGGGAGGACUCAACCCGCGCUCUCCUCCCCCGCCCUUCCCCACCUCCUGCUCUCGCCCGCUCCUCCUCCUUCACCCCUGGAGAGGCGAUCGCUCAGCGGGAGCCGCUCGGACAGGGAGCGGGAGCUGCCGCCGCUCGAGCUUCAACAUCUGGUGGCAGCUGGAGACAGAAUAUCGGAUCCUCGUUUACAGAGUCCCCUCGUAUUCCCAGGCAUAAUUUCUGGAGGCUUGUGCAACCACAGACUUAAGAAACACUUUCAUGUAUAUUUGAAAGAAGAUGACAUUUACUAUCUGAAGGAUUCCAAUUAAGCACAGAAUGGCCAGGAUACUUUCUCUCUCAACUUUUGAAAAGUGUGGUGGCCUUUUC